CCAUCUUUAAGAACUGUAACACUCACUGCAAGGGUCCAUGGCUUCAUUCAUGAAGUCAGCGAGACCAAGAACCCACCAGAAGGAACCAAUUCCAGACACAUUUUGGCGACCAUGAAGGGACUAUCGCCUAUUGCCAAGUGAUGGGAAACACUCAGGCAUCAACAGGCUCACCCUUGAAAUGCAUCCUAAACGAUUGGUACCAAUUUGACUUGCAAACCCUGAAGAAGAGAGUCGAGGCCAUCAAGCUACAGAUGGUCUUACAAAUGGAACCCCAAAUGAGCUCAGCUAACAACUUCUACUAAGGACCCCUAGACUGACCCACUGGCUCUUUCACUGGCCUAAAGAGUUCCCCUCUGGAGGACACUACAACUGCAAGGCCCUUUCUUUGCCCUUAUCCAGCAGGAAGUAGCUAGAGUGGUCAUCACCCAGUUCCCAAAAAGAGUUGGGGUGUCCUGUUUAAAGAGGGGAUUGAGAGGUGAAGCCAGCUGGGCUUCUGGGUCUGGUGGGGACUUGAGAACUUGGAGAACUUAGCUAAAGGAUUGUAAACAUACCAAUCAGUGCUCUGUGUCUAGCUAAAGGUUUGUAAACGCACCAAC